UGGGGAAUAUUGGACAAUGGGCGAAAGCCUGAUCCAGCAAUGCCGCGUGAGUGAUGAAGGCCUUAGGGUUGUAAAGCUCUUUUACCAGGGAUGAUAAUGACAGUACCUGGAGAAUAAGCUCCGGCUAACUCCGUGCCAGCAGCCGCGGUAAUACGGAGGGAGCUAGCGUUGUUCGGAAUUACUGGGCGUAAAGCGCACGUAGGCGGCGACUCAAGUCAGAGGUGAAAGCCCGGGGCUCAACCCCGGAACUGCCUUUGAAACUAGGUUGCUAGAAUCCUGGAGAGGUGAGUGGAAUUCCGAGUGUAGAGGUGAAAUUCGUAGAUAUUCGGAAGAACACCAGUGGCGAAGGCGACUCACUGGACAGGUAUUGACGCUGAGGUGCGAAAGCGUGGGGAGCAAACA
rnacentral:rRNA from 1 species